AAGAAAAGAAAAGAAAAGAAAAGAAAAGAAAAGAAAAGAAAAGAAAAGAAAAGAAAAGAAAAGAAAAGAAAAGAAAAGAAAAGAAAAGAAAAGAAAAGAAAAGAAAAGAAAAGAGUAAAGAAUGGAGAACCAGCCAAGAAGUCAGAAACGAAAGCUUUUCUUAUGAGCAUGAAAUAAAGUGAAUGAAUGAGAAAAUACACAAUUCAGCACUGAACGAAGAAAAAUAAUGUAGCAAGUUACUGUUUCCUGUCCUAACAGUAAAAGACCUCAGACCACACAGAUUCAACUCUACAUAACUUGGAUCACAUAAGGCAUAAACAGAUUAAUCUGUAUGGAAAUCCUAAUAUUUGAGCUAUUGCAUAGUUUUGGACCUGACCAGAGCAUGUUUUGUGGCAUCCUACCAAACUGUCGAUUUUUCAUCUUCUUCUGUCAGAUCUGUGCACACAAACACAUAUUUUUGCCACCACCCUUCAUGAAGAAAGAACCCAAUGGGAGGAAACUGUCCACCUCCUCCCUGCUGCCAUCAGACACACAGUCAAGCAGGCAAACCAGAAGGUGAGGACUGAAAUAGAGUGAAGAGUCAAGAUGUGUACAAUCAGAGGACAUAUAUGAUAGUAGUGAUGUUGAUAAGACUGGUUAAAAAUUCUUCACCAAACAGCUUUCACAGUUUCUUACUAGAAAUCUGACUUUUUGACAGUGAAUAUUUUUGUGGGAUUCUCCAUAAAUAUUAAAAAUCAUUUUCUUUUUCUGUCCUCCAAAGAAAAGCUGAACAUUUGCACAGAAGUAAAUCAUAAUUAUCUUUAAUAAUGCUCUGAAACACAUGAGCCUUUGAAGAUUAUCGUAUCUGAACUGGAAUAUCAG
rnacentral:lncRNA from 1 species